AGUUCUGAUGCACCGCGAAACGAAUUUUGCAGGUGGAGAACGAGGAGACAAUCGAGGCACAAAGUGCCCGGACCCAAAGCGCUGUUGGACGGAAUCCAACAGCGCUUUUUC
rnacentral:ncRNA from 1 species